UGGCGGACGGGGAGGUAAUGUCUGGGAAACGUGCCCGAUGGAGGGGGAUAACUACUGGAAACGGUAGCUAAUACCGCAUAACGUCGCAAGACCAAAGAGGGGGACCUUCGGGCCUCUUGCCAUCGGAUGUGCCCAGAUGGGAUUAGCUAGUAGGUGGGGUAAAGGCUCACCUAGGCGACGAUCCCUAGCUGGUCUGAGAGGAUGACCAGCCACACUGGAACUGAGACACGGUCCAG
rnacentral:rRNA from 1 species